UACGUAGGAGGCGAGCGUUGUCCGGAAUUACUGGGCGUAAAGAGCGCGUAGGCGGCGCGGUACGUCCGCUGUGAAAGCCCCCAGCUCAACUGGGGAGGGUCAGCGGUAACGGCCGAGCUAUGAGUGCAGGAGAGGGAAGUGGAACUCCGGGAGUAGCGGUGAAAUGCGUAGAGACCUGGAGGAACACCAGUGGCGAAGGCGGCAUCCUGGUCCGCAACUGACGCUGUGGAGCGAAAGCUAGGGGAGCAAACGGG
rnacentral:rRNA from 1 species